GACGAACGCUGGCGGCGUGCUUAACACAUGCAAGUCGAACGCUGAAGCACCAGCUUGCUGGUGUGGAUGAGUGGCGAACGGGUGAGUAAUACGUGAGUAACCUGCCCUUGACUCUGGGAUAAGCCCGGGAAACUGGGUCUAAUACUGGAUGCUACAUGUCACCGCAUGGUGGUGUGUGGAAAGGGUUUACUGGUCUUGGAUGGGCUUACGGCCUAUCAGCUUGUUGGUGAGGUAAUGGCUCACCAAGGCGACGACGGGUAGCCGGCCUGAGAGGGUGACCGGCCACACUGGGACUGAGACACGGCCCAGACUCCUACGGGAGGCAGCAGGGGGGAAUAUUGCACAAUGGGCGAAAGCCUGAUGCAGCGACGCCGCGGGAGGGAUGACGGCCUUCGGGUUGUAAACCUCUUUCAGCAGGGAAGAAGCCACAAGUGACAGUACCUGCAGAAGAAGCGCCGGCUAACUACGUG
rnacentral:rRNA from 1 species